rnacentral:rRNA from 1 species
AACGAACGCUGGCGGCAUGCCUAACACAUGCAAGUCGAACGAUUGCCUUCGGGUGAUAGUGGCGCACGGGUGCGUAACGCGUGGGAAUCUGCCCUUAGGUUCGGAAUAACAGCUGGAAACGGCUGCUAAUACCGGAUGAUAUCGCGAGAUCAAAGAUUUAUCGCCUGAGGAUGAGCCCGCGUUGGAUUAGGUAGUUGGUGGGGUAAAGGCCUACCAAGCCGACGAUCCAUAGCUGGUCUGAGAGGAUGAUCAGCCACACUGGGACUGAGACACGGCCCAGACUCCUACGGGGGGCAGAAGUGGGGAAUAUUGGACAAUGGGCGCAAGCCUGACCCAGCAAUGCCGUGUGAGUGAUGAAGGCCCUAGGGUUGUAAAGCUCUUUUACCCGGGAAGAUAAUGACUGUGCCGGAAGAAUAGGCCCGGGCUAACUCGGUG